rnacentral:rRNA from 1 species
GACGAACGCUGGCGGCGCGCUUAACACAUGCCAGUCGAACGGAAAGGCCUGCUUUCCCUUGUGGAUUGCGGGUACUCGAGUGGCGAACGGGUGAGUAACACGUGAGUGAUCUGCCCCCAACUUGGGUAUAAGCCUGGGAAACUGGGUCUAAUUCCCGAUAGGACUGCAGGGUGGUGCCUGUGGUGGAAAACGAUUUUCUAGUGGUUGGGGAUGAGCUCGCGGCCUAUCAGCUUGUUGGUGGGGUAAUGGCCUACCAAGGCGGCGACGGGUAGCCGGCCUGAGAGGGUGGACGGCCACAUUGGGACUGAGAUACGGCCCAGACUCCUACGGGAGGCAGCAGUGGGGAAUAUUGCACAAUGGGCGGAAGCCUGAUGCAGCGACGCCGCGUGGGGGAUGACGGCCUUCGGGUUGUAAACUCCUUUCGACCGCGAGGAAGCCACCUGGUUGGAAGGGUGGUGACGGUAGUGGUAGAGGAAGCACCGGCUAACUACGUG